rnacentral:rRNA from 1 species
AGAGUUUGAUCCUGGCUCAGAACGAACGUUGGCGGCGUGGAUUAGGCAUGCAAGUCGAACGAAUCCCUUGGGGGUAACUCUGAGGGGGAAGUGGCGAAAGGGGCAGUAAGGCGUGGGUAACUUGCCCCGGGGCCCGGAAUAGCCAUCCUAACGGAUGGGUAAUACCGGACGUGCUGGUCUGGCGGCAUCACCGGACCAGG